GCCUUGAGUUCAGUUCAGGGCAGCCCCCCUGCUUAGUAUUAAACUCUGGGACAUGACCAGGCAGGCUAGGGUAGAUGAUUACAUGGAGAAUAUUACUCUAUUCAUUUAUCUCCCAGCCUACAAAA